rnacentral:lncRNA from 1 species
GCACAACGUCAGUCAUGUGUCUCUCUCUUUCUAACCCCAGACAGAAGAAGCAAGACUCAGCUUCUCCAUAUUUCCAAAGAUAUUGCUUCUGGAAAGCCCUGAGAAAAUCGGAAUUCACAGAAGAAAAUCCCAUUCGCCUGCCAUUGUUGUUUGUGUCAUUACCUUAAGGCUCUAGCCCUGGGCUUAAUUGCCUCCUGGGGUUCCUUUGUUAUAGGGGGAAAGAAACCAUGUAGAAUAGUCUACUCUCUUUCCAAAAUCCCAUUUUAACUGGAACAUGCUGGUUUUAACAGACAUCUUUUUUUUCUGAAACACAGUAAAUAUCUAUUCCAAAGUUUGCCUCCCAUUCACUUCCCCUGUGAAAAGUGAGAUAAAAAGAUUCACUACAUCAUAUGCAUUCUGUCAAAAUUUUAUUUUUAAAGUACAGUUUCUAUUCUCCAAGUCUCUAAUUUUUUUUCAUUUUUUUCUACUUAUUUAUAUUGAGGUAAAUAUCUGUCUUGGUUGCAUUUAUUUUCAACCUGAAAUUCAAUUUCAUUACAAUUAAGGAAUGUAUAAUUUGAAAUUUUAUUCUAUUUUUUUUCUCAUAGCCAGGAAAUGGAAAUUCUAUGUGGAAAAAAGUUGGAAAAUAAAGUUGUGAAUAACUACUCUAACCUCACGUCAGAAAUAAACAUUUAAAAAUUAAUUACUUAACUGAAAUAAAAUUUAAAAAUCCAUUAACUUGAGUUCUUCAUUGAAUUCUCUAUCUACUUCAUGAGAAAUGUUGCUCUAGAGAAGAGGGAAAAGAAUCGUUUCUUCAUAAUAUGAAGACAGGCCUAAUUUCUGAGUUCUUCUAAGAACAUGAAUGUUCAUUUUGACUUCAUAGAAUGCUAUACUGUGUCUGUUUAUUCAUGUGGCUUAGUUUAAUUGCUAAUUCAGUGUUGUUUCUUAGGUACUUAAAAUUCAGUAAUGAAGACUCACAUAAUGAAGUAUUAUGUAGACUAAUUAAUGAGUAUAUAAUGCCACAUAAAGUUAUUGCAAAUGCCAACUGUUAUCAUCAUACAUGUCAGACUUAAUUUUGCCUCUGAAUCCACUGAGCAGAGUACCUAAUUCUAUAUUCACUACUUCAUUUAGUAGCAAUGGCCCACAACUCUAGACUAGCUUCUCAGCAUAGGAACCUUCUUGUUAGCAGAAAAUUAGAGACACAAGCUGGAAUUUGAAAAAGGAAAAUCAUAUAUUUAAUUUAAAUAAUAGUUCUCUCAUUUACUAGCUCUCCGUUCUUGCCUAACCCCUUUGAAACUGAGUGUCACAAGUUUUAAAAUGAGAAUAGUAAUAUUCUCCUAUUCAACAAAUAUUGCCUAAAUAUAUGUCAUGUUCCAACAACAGUGGACACAACACAACCCAUGCCUCAAGAGUGUGUUAAGUGUCAUGAUAAAGACAUGGACCAGCUUUUACAGAAGCAUUUUAAAGGGUCAACCCAUAACCCUGUGGAGAAACAAAGAGAUUUAUGAAGAAACGGGGAUUUAUAGAGAAACUGAUAUGAUGCCUAGGAUAUACUGGAUACUAAGAAAUAGUCGUUCGUCCUUUUCUUAAAAAAGAGCUAUGUAAUGUUACCUAGAAAAAUGACACUACAUAUCAAAUAUUGAAUGUGUCUAAAUUCAGAUGGUAGGGUAGCCAUUAUAGUGAUUCCUUAAAGGAGAGAUUCACCUUCUUUAUCAUUGAUAACUCUUUUAUGCCUCUUUAAUUUAGAACAAGAGAAAAAUUUUCAAACUGUUUAAAAUGGUUACCUCUCAGGUAUAGGAACAGUGAAGAAUUUAAUUUCACACUUUACACAUUUAAUAUUCUUGGCUUUUCUGGUAACAGCUAUGGUAUCGUUAUACUAUUGUAAAAAUUAUGCUAAAAUAAAAAUAGUAUAAAAUUUACCAUCUUAAUCAUUUUUAAAUGUACAGUUCAAUAGUGUUAAGUAUAUUCACAUUGCUGUACGCUCUAUUUCCAGAUCACUUUUCAUUUGCAAAACUGAGACUCUACUCAAUAAACAACUCCCCGUAUGCCCCUCUGCCAUUUAUUUUCUAUUCUAUUUCUAUGAGUUUGACUACUCCAGAAAUCUUAUAUAAGCAAAAUCACACAGUAUAUGUCUUUUUGUAACUGGCUUUUUUUACUUAGCAUAAUGUCCUAAAACUUCAACCACAUAACACGUGUCAGAAUUCUCUUUCAUCUUAAAAAAAAAAAAAAAAAAAA